rnacentral:rRNA from 1 species
CCCUUAGGUGUUCUGGGCCGCACGCGCGCUACACUGAUGCAUUCAACGAGUCUAAAACCUGCUCUGAUAGGGGUGGGUAAUCUUUUGAAUGUGCAUCGUGAUUGGGAUAGAUGAUUGCAAUUUUUCAUCUUCAACGAGGAGUGCCUAGUAAACGCAAGUCAUCAGCUUGCAUUGAUUACGUCCCUGCCCUUUGUACACACCGCCCGUCGCUCCUACCGAUUGAAUGAUCCGAUGAAUAUCAUGGAUUGAGGAUGUAAGCAGGUUCGCCUGUCUUCAUCUUCGAGAAGUGAAGUAAAUCUUAUCAUUUAGAGGAAGGAGAAGUCGUAACA